UACGGAGGGUGCGAGCGUUGUCCGGAAUCACUGGGCGUAAAGGGCGCGUAGGUGGCGCGAGUAGUCAACGGUGAAAGCCCGGGGCUCAACCCCGGGUCGGCCGUCGAUACUCUCGUGCUUGAGCACUGUAGAGGCAGGUGGAAUUCCGGGUGUAGCGGUGGAAUGCGUAGAGAUCGGGAAGAACAUCGGUGGCGAAAGCGCUCUGCUGGACUGCAACUGACACUCAGGGACGAAAGCUAGGGGAGCGAAUGGG
rnacentral:rRNA from 1 species